GAUUAAGUUAUUAAGGGCGCACGGUGGAUGCCUUGGCACUAGAAGCCGAUGAAGGACGUUACUAACGACGAUAUGCUUUGGGGAGCUGUAAGUAAGCUUUGAUCCAGAGAUUUCCGAAUGGGGAAACCCAGCAUGAGUUAUGUCAUGUUAUCGAUAUGUGAAUACAUAGCAUAUCAGAAGGCACACCCGGAGAACUGAAACAUCUUAGUACCCGGAGGAAGAGAAAGAAAAUUCGAUUCCCUUAGUAGCGGCGAGCGAAACGGGAAGAGCCCAAACCAACAAGCUUGCUUGUUGGGGUUGUAGGACACUCUAUACGGAGUUACAAAGGACGACAUUAGACGAAUCAUCUGGAAAGAUGAAUCAAAGAAGGUAAUAAUCCUGUAGUCGAAAAUGUUGUCUCUCUUGAGUGGAUCCUGAGUACGACGGAGCACGUGAAAUUCCGUCGGAAUCUGGGAGGACCAUCUCCUAAGGCUAAAUACUCUCUAGUGACCGAUAGUGAACCAGUACCGUGAGGGAAAGGUGAAAAGCACCCCGGAAGGGGAGUGAAAUAGAACCUGAAACCGUGUGCUUACAAGUAGUCAGAGCCCGUUAAUGGGUGAUGGCGUGCCUUUUGUAGAAUGAACCGGCGAGUUACGAUUUGAUGCAAGGUUAAGCAGUAAAUGUGGAGCCGUAGCGAAAGCGAGUCUGAAUAGGGCGUUUAGUAUUUGGUCGUAGACCCGAAACCAGGUGAUCUACCCUUGGUCAGGUUGAAGUUCAGGUAACACUGAAUGGAGGACCGAACCGACUUACGUUGAAAAGUGAGCGGAUGAACUGAGGGUAGCGGAGAAAUUCCAAUCGAACCUGGAGAUAGCUGGUUCUCUCCGAAAUAGCUUUAGGGCUAGCCUCAAGUGAUGAUUAUUGGAGGUAGAGCACUGUUUGGACGAGGGGCCCCUCUCGGGUUACCGAAUUCAGACAAACUCCGAAUGCCAAUUAAUUUAACUUGGGAGUCAGAACAUGGGUGAUAAGGUCCGUGUUCGAAAGGGAAACAGCCCAGACCACCAGCUAAGGUCCCAAAAUAUAUGUUAAGUGGAAAAGGAUGUGGCGUUGCCCAGACAACUAGGAUGUUGGCUUAGAAGCAGCCAUCAUUUAAAG
rnacentral:rRNA from 1 species